AACGCGUGAGGAACCUGCCUUUCAGUGGGGGACAACAGNUGNAAACGACUGCUAAUACCGCAUGACACUUUUGAGGGACAUCCCUUAAAAGUCAAAGCUUUAUGUGCUGAAAGAUGGCCUCGCGUCUGAUUAGCUAGUUGGUGAGGUAACGGCUCACCAAGGCGACGAUCAGUAGCCGGUCUGAGAGGAUGAACGGCCACAUUGGGACUGAGAUACGGCCCAGACUCCUACGGGAGGCAGCAGUGGGGAAUAUUGGGCAAUGGGGGAAACCCUGACCCAGCAACGCCGCGUGAAGGAAGAAGGCCUUCGGGUUGUAAACUUCUUUUACCAGGGACGAAGGACGUGACGGUACCUGGAGAAAAAGCAACGGCUAACUACGUGCCAGCAGCCGCGGUAAUACGUAGGUUGCAAGCGUUGUCCGGAUUUACUGGGUGUAAAGGGCGUGUAGGCGGAGAUGCAAGUUGGGAGUGAAAUCCAUGGGCUCAACCCAUGAACUGCUCUCAAAACUGUAUCCCUUGAGUAUCGGAGAGGCAAGCGGAAUUCCUAGUGUAGCGGUGAAAUGCGUAGAUAUUAGGAGGAACACCAGUGGCGAAGGCGGCUUGCUGGACGACAACUGACGCUGAGGCGCGAAAGCGUGGGGAGCAAACAGGAUUAGAUACCCUGGUAGUCCACGCUGUAAACGAUGAAUACUAGGUGU
rnacentral:rRNA from 1 species